UGAGGAAUAUUGGUCAAUGGGCGGGAGCCUGAACCAGCCAAGCCGCGUGAGGGAAUAAGGCCCUACGGGUCGUAAACCUCUUUUGUCGGGAACAAAACCGGAGACGAGUCUCCGGCUGCGUGUA
rnacentral:rRNA from 1 species